rnacentral:rRNA from 1 species
CAGUCGCCGCGGUAAUACGUAUGUCACAAGCGUUAUCCGGAUUUAUUGGGCGUAAAGCGCGUCUAGGUGGUUAUGUAAGUCUGAUGUGAAAAUGCAGGGCUCAACUCUGUAUUGCGUUGGAAACUGUGUAACUAGAGUACUGGAGAGGUAAGCGGAACUACAAGUGUAGAGGUGAAAUUCGUAGAUAUUUGUAGGAAUGCCGAUGGGGAAGCCAGCUUACUGGACAGAUACUGACGCUGAAGCGCGAAAGCGUGGGUAGCAAACAGGAUUAGAUACCCCCGUAGUCCCUGUCUCUUAUACA